rnacentral:rRNA from 1 species
UACGUAGGGUGCGAGCGUUAAUCGGAAUUACUGGGCGUAAAGCGUGCGCAGGCGGUUUUGUAAGACAGAUGUGAAAGCCCCGGGCUUAACCUGGGAAUGGCAUUUGGGACUGCAAGGCUUGAGUGCGGCAGAGGAGACUGGAAUUCCUGGUGUAGCAGUGAAAUGCGUAGAUAUCAGGAGGAAUACCGAUGGCGAAGGCAGGUCUCUGGGCUGACACUGAUGCUCAUGCACGAAAGCGUGGGGAGCAAACAGG